AUUGUAAGUCUGUUACUUUGCUCACUGACACGUUACGGAUGAUAGCUAGCAAGCUAGUCGCUGGCUAGCGGUGCUCAGGCUGAGGACGUGCAGGAGGGCGGGAGUCCGUCUGUCAACAGGCAGGAGCAUCACAUGAGCUGGAGGCGUGUGGCGUAAGAGGUCGUUUGAAGCCUUCUUGGACGUAUGCUUCAGACGCCGGAAGCGAAGCAGGUUGACACGCUGUGAGGAGGGUGCUGGAGCUGCUUCAGGCCAGAUGACUGACCUCCCGCCAUGACACUGGUGACGUACUGCAGGGGCCAUGCGAACCUGAGGAGGACUGUGAACACCUGUGGCUCCAGAUCGACACAGACUCCUCCCUCAAUGCCAGCAGCUGUGAUCAGCAGGAGGAGCAGCAAAGUGAGGAGGUGGAGGGUGGAGCAAAUAUCGGAGGAAGGAGAUGAAUCGGAUGACCUCUUUGAGAAAUGUUGUCUAUAGUUCUCAUUGACUUUAUUUAUUCCUGUAUG